rnacentral:rRNA from 1 species
UACGGGGGGAGCAAGCGUUGUUCGGAUUUACUGGGCGUAAAGGGCGCGUAGGCGGCCACCGCAAGUCGGUUGUGAAAUCUCUGGGCUUAACCCAGAAAGGUCAACCGAUACUGCGGGGCUAGAGUGCAGAAGGGGCAACUGGAAUUCUCGGUGUAGCGGUGAAAUGCGUAGAUAUCGAGAGGAACACCUGCGGCGAAGGCGGGUGGCUGGGCUGACACUGACGCUGAAGCGCGAAAGCUAGGGGAGCGAACGGG